rnacentral:rRNA from 1 species
CUGGCUCAGGAUGAACGCUAGCGGCAGGCUUAACACAUGCAAGUCGAGGGGCAUCGGGAGUAGCAAUACUGCCGGCGACCGGCGCAAGGGUGCGUAACGCGUGAGCAACAUGCCCGUAUCAGGGGGAUAAUCCAUGGAAACGUGGUCUAAUACCCCAUAGUAAUUAUGUAAGGCAUCUUAUAUAAUUUAAAGCUUUGGUGGAUACGGAUUGGCUCGCGUGACAUUAGCUAGAUGGUAAGGUAACGGCUUACCAUGGCUACGAUGUCUAGGGGUUCUGAGAGGAAGGUCCCCCACACUGGAACUGAGACACGGUCCAGACUCCUACGGGAGGCAGCAGUGAGGAAUAUUGGACAAUGGAUGGAAAUCUGAUCCAGCCAUGCCGCGUGCAAGGAAGACGGCCCUAUGGGUUGUAAACUGCUUUUGUAUGGGAGCAAUAAGGGCUACGCGUAGUCCGAUGAGAGUACCAUACGAAUAAGCACCGGCUAACUCCGUGCCAGCCGCGGC